rnacentral:rRNA from 1 species
UACACACCGCCCGUCACACCAUGGGAGUGGGGGAUACCAGAAGAGGCUAGUCUAACCUGUAAAGGAGGACGGUCUCCACGGUAUGUUUCAUGACUGGGGUG